UCACUAACCUGGACGGGGUCUAUGAGUGAUCAUGUAGGCUCAUGGCCUAGGUUAUUGACCUCCAUUGAACAUUGCAGAGGGGCAUCUGCCUAAGAUCUCUCCAAGAGGGAGAGUUUAGGUCAUAAUUUGUGGUAGUGGGGGCAUAUGUUCGCGCGGCCUCUAU